rnacentral:misc_RNA from 1 species
CGAAAUGCGAUAAGUAGUGUGAAUUGCAGAAUUCAGUGAAUCAUCGAAUCUUUGAACGCACAUUGCGCCCGCCAGUAUUCUGGCGGGCAUGCCUGUUCGAGCGUCAUUACAACCCUCAGGCCCCCGGGCCUGGCGUUGGGGAUCGGCGGAAGCCCCCUGCGGGCACAACGCCGUCCCCCAAAUACAGUGGCGGUCCCGCCGCAGCUUCCAUUGCGUAGUAGCUAACACCUCGCAACUGGAGAGCGGCGCGGCCACGCCGUAAAACACCCAACUUCUGAAUGUUGACCUCGAAUCAGGUAGGAAUACCCGCUGAACUUAAGC